AACGCACAUUGCGCCCGCCAGCAUUCUGGCGGGCAUGCCUGUCCGAGCGUCAUUUCAACCCAUCAAGCCCCCGGGCUUGCGUUGGGGCCCUGCGGCCGCCGCAGGCCCUGAAAUGCAGUGGCGGUCUCGCCAGACGGCACCGAGCGUAGUAGCACCAUCUCGCUCCGGUGGCGCGGCGGGCGUCCGGCCGUGAAACCUCCAGCGGGUCCCCCCCGCUGGGCGCGAACCAGGUUGACCUCGGAUCAGGUAGGAAUACCCGCUGAACUUAA
rnacentral:misc_RNA from 1 species